GACGAACGCUGGCGGCGUGCCUAAUACAUGCAAGUAGAACGCUGAAGGAGGAGCUUGCUUCUCUGGAUGAGUUGCGAACGGGUGAGUAACGCGUAGGUAACCUGCCUGGUAGCGGGGGAUAACUAUUGGAAACGAUAGCUAAUACCGCAUAAGAGUAGAUGUUGCAUAACAUUUGCUUAAAAGGUGCAAUUGCAUCACUACCAGAUGGACCUGCGUUGUAUUAGCUAGUUGGUGGGGUAACGGCUUACCAAGGCGACGAUACAUAGCCGACCUGAGAGGGUGAUCGGCCACACUGGGACUGAGACACGGCCCAGACUCCUACGGGAGGCAGCAGUAGGGAAUCUUCGGCAAUGGACGGAAGUCUGACCGAGCAACGCCGCGUGAGUGAAGAAGGUUUUCGGAUCGUAAAGCUCUGUUGUAAGAGAAGAACGAGUGUGAGAGUGGAAAGUUCACACUGUGACGGUAUCUUACCAGAAAGGGACGGCUAACUACGUG
rnacentral:rRNA from 1 species